rnacentral:rRNA from 1 species
UACGGAGGAUGCGAGCGUUAUCCGGAUUUAUUGGGUUUAAAGGGUGCGCAGGCGGCACGGCAAGCCGGCGGUCAAAUCGCGGGGCUCAACCCCGCCCAGCCGUCGGAACUGCCGGGCUAGAGUUGGCGAGAAGUGCGCGGAAUGCGUGGUGUAGCGGUGAAAUGCAUAGAUAUCACGCAGAACUCCGAUUGCGAAGGCAGCGCACCGGCGCCCUACUGACGCUCAGGCACGAAAGCGUGGGUAUCGAACAGG